rnacentral:rRNA from 1 species
GACGAACGCUGGCGGCGUGCUUAACACAUGCAAGUCGAACGGAAAGGCCCUGCUUUUGUGGGGUGCUCGAGUGGCGAACGGGUGAGUAACACGUGAGUAACCUGCCCUUGACUUUGGGAUAACUUCAGGAAACUGGGGCUAAUACCGGAUAGGAGCUCCUGCUGCAUGGUGGGGGUUGGAAAGUUUCGGCGGUUGGGGAUGGACUCGCGGCUGAUCAGCUUGUUGGUGGGGUAGUGGCUUACCAAGGCUUUGACGGGUAGCCGGCCUGGGAGGGUGACCGGCCACAUUGGGACUGAGGUACGGCCCAGACUCCUACGGGAGGCAGCAGUGGGGAAUAUUGCACAAUGGGCGGAAGCCUGAUGCAGCAACGCCGCGUGCGGGAUGACGGCCUUCGGGUUGUAAACCGCUUUCGCCUGUGACGAAGCGUGAGUGACGGUAAUGGGUAAAGAAGCACCGGCUAACUACGUG